rnacentral:SRP_RNA from 1 species
GCCGGGCGUGGUGGCGGGCGCCUGUAGUCCCAGCUACUCGGAGGCUGAGGCGGGAGAAUGGCGUGAACCCGGGAGGUGGAGCUUGCAGUGAGCCGAGAUCGUGCCACUGCACUCCAGCCUGGGUGACAGAGCGAGACUCCGUCUCAA